ACACGUUGUGAUGAUUGCCUUCGU
rnacentral:siRNA from 1 species